rnacentral:lncRNA from 1 species
CAAGAUUCGCUAUAUUCAAAUGCCCUUAAUACCCCUGUCCCUUUUCCUAAUUACUGGCCUAAGUGUUUUAAACCCUGGUUCCUAUCUAUUUGGUCAGAAUAUGACCCUAGUUAACUACCUCAAUUCAUAAACCAAGAUUAUUAUUAUCAACUAGUAUCAAAUUUUGAAAAGGUAGUCAUGGCCAAUUGUUUAAUUGCAGAUUUAUACCAUAUUAUGCAAAACAAAUGACCUAGGGCCAUGAUUUAAUCAAUGCAACACACACAUUCAAGCAAAUAUCACACUACAAAACUGAAUUUGUCAGAAACAUAUGCAGAGCUAAACAACAACUAAGCAAUUUUAGACCCAAUAUGACAAAUUCUGAGCUCAAAGGAUAAUUCAAACAAGUCAACAAAAACAGGCUAUGACUUCAAAUGUUAAGUAGAACAUUCAGAAACAAGUUAUACAAAAAAAACAAGCAAGGAAGCAAAUACUCAGGAUAUUUCAAAGAUGAGCAAAUCAAAACUUAGCGUAUUUAAACAAAUGCAAGUAAAGAAGAUCAAGAUGAAUUAGAAAAGAGAACCAGGACAAGUAUAUGACUCUAGAUGAAAACACCUACCUAGAAUUUUUCAAAGGUGAACAGAUAGAAAAACAUAAUAUACUUAAACAAGUAACAAUGAAGAAGAUCAAAAGCAAAAGAAGACAAGGACGAGCAUAUGAUCCUUGAUGGAAGCAAGUACUCAGAACAUUUCGAAGAUGAAAAGAUAGAAAACAAAUGAACUUAAACAAGUAACAAUAAAGAAGGUCUAAAUCAAAAGAAGACAAGGAUGAGCAUAUGAUUACUCAGAACAUUUUGAAGAUGAACAGAUAAAAACCAAUGAACUUAAAC